GAGUGCACCUGCCGAAACAAGGAGCCAGUAGUGGAAAAAUUAGAAUAGAAAGAAAUGUUGGUUGUGGGUCCUACUUAAAUUGAUUUAGUUUGCAUAUAUAUGAUAUAUUUUUGUAGCAAAUUAGAGCUACCAGCCGAGUAUGGGAGGAAAGAAAGAAAAAUGAAGUUCUAAAAGUUGACUUUUGCGGGUCCCACUUGUUUAUUAAGGGUUUUUAGUUUUGUUGUAUUAUAGCACCUUUGUAUAUAUAAUGAUAUAUACAUAUAUUUAGUGCCUUGUCUAAACAAAAUGGAUGGAAUGGAUGUGCCAACCGAAAUGGGAUAAAAAGAAAAAAGAAGAUUGAAUUGGUGACCGUGGGACCCAUGAUAUUAGUUUUGCAAAGUUUUCUUUGACUUUGGCUUUUUGCACUUUAUGGUUAUUCUAGAAAGAGAGAUAAGAGUGCUGUGUAAUGGAAAAAUGAAGAUACAGAUGAGAAGAGCAGGUGGCGGCCGAAAGUCAGAAAAAAAAAGAAAAAAACAAAAGAAAGGGCAAUUGCGGGUCCCACCUGAUAUAGAUAUUGAUCGGUUGAAAUUUGAUUUUUUGGUUGCAUGUGUAUGUGAUACAUAUGAUACGCAUAUAUAUACAUUGGUUGGAUGAGUAGAACAGGAGCCGAUUUAGAGAGAAGAAAAUUUGUGAUGAUGUUUUCUUUCCCGUGGGGCCCACAAAGAAUUAUUUUGCCAAAGGCUCUUUGAACUUGGUCUAUUCGCAUGGGCUAUAUCUGUUGUAUUUUGAGUGAGUGAGUUGUAUUGUCUGAUGAAAGAUAUGAUGAGGAUGAAUAAAAGGAUAAGGAGGAGAAAGAUAAGGUAAGCAGUGGUGGUGGGGUCCACUAAAGUUUGAUGUCUCGUAAGCAAUUGAAUUGAUUCAUUUCACUUUGAAUUGAUAUUUGUGAAGUGUCGGUACAAUUGUCUAUAUAUAUUGUGCCUUUUGGUGAUGAUACAGGAGAGAGAAAUAAAGGAAACAUUCACAGAGAGAUUCGAGAGUUUCAGAGGGGGGCUGGGAGCAGUGAUGUUGAUGACCCAGUGUUGAUUUAUUCAUUUUACAGUGUAGGGAUCAUCAUACUUUGAAUGGGUGUUUUAAAUAUUUUAUUGAUUAUUAUUUUGUUAAAAUUGCAUAUACGUAUUUUUGUUUAAAUGUAUAUGUAUAUUUUGUGAAAUUAAUUUUGCAUGAAACUUCUUGAAAUCCUUGUUAUGGUUUUUCCUACUGUCUCACCCUCUUACAUUUUCAAGUACCGAGGAUGCUUGAGGAUUUUUAGCUGCGGGCUUAGGUGGAAGAGUUGGUGUUGAGGAAUUAAUUUAUUUAUUUAGAGAUUUUUAUGUAUUUAUUUGAGGAAAUUGAUAUAGUACCAAUUUAAUUAAUUUGAGAUGUUGUUAUAUUUAUUUGAGGAAAUUUGAUUGAUUUUGUAUCAAUAAAUGAGUAUUUUAUUUCUUUUGAGAUUCUGGAUGUUUUUUUAUGAAGUAUUUUGAUUUAAUGAAAUCGAGGAUUUUAUUUAGAAAAAAAUUCGGGGCGUUACAGAAUGGUAUCAGAGCCUGUACCCAGCCGGAAGUGUGAGUUUAGUGAUUAUGUUGUCGGGUGUGAGUGGGCUAGUGUUUAGUUCUAACUAGUUACCACUCGUAGCCGGGUGUGUGUGUCCGGAUGUCGUUCACUGGCAGCUACUAGAAUGAUUACUUUCGGUGAUUAGGGGAAGGUGUCCCUAGAUCACUAUCGGUUUUAUUUUUUGGGCGGGUGACGGCAUCGUCUAGUUACAACAACGGUUACGGAGUGUGUGGGCGGGUAAUUAGCACUGUCAGCUACCACAAUAUUUUUCAUGUCACUGAAUUUCACAUCGCCUGGGGUAAGGAUUUUUGAAUGUUGUUUUGCUACUUUUGAUGUUUUCGAAUAUGCGAAAAUUGUUAGAUCUGAAUUUCAGGAUGAAAUUCUUUUAAGUGGUGGAGAAUGUGACAACCCGGAUUUUUUUUAAGAUUUUAAAUUAUAUUUAUCUCUUGAUUUUUUAUUGACAAAAAAAUUAACUAUUUUAUUUUAAUUGGAGACUUAUCAAUUGAAGAUUGGAUUACGAUAUUUAAAUUAGUGAUUUACACAAUUGAGAUUUUAUGGGUUUGAUUUAAAUUGUUUUAUAUUAAAUAUUUUUUUUUUAUAGUGUGCUAAGAUAGAAGGAGCUUCCAGCCAUGGUGGGAUUUGAGAGAGAAGAAAUGGGUUUUGAUUUUGGAAAGUGGUGGUUGCAUUGUAUAUAUAUAUAUAUAUAUAUACAUGAAUCUUUAAUGUAUUUGUUGAAGAGUGCACCUGCCGAAACAAGGAGCCAGUAGUGGAAAAAUUAGAAGAGAAAAAAAUGUUGGUUGCGGGUCCUACUUAAAUUGAUUUAGUUUGCAUAUAUAUGAUAUAUUUUUGUAGCAAAUUAGAGCUACCAGCCGAGUAUGGGAGGAAAGAAAGAAAAAUGAAGUUCUAAAAGUUAACUUUUGCGGUCCCACUUGUUUAUUAAGGGUUUUUAGUUUUGUUGUAUUGUAGCACCUUUGUAUAUAUAAUGAUAUAUAUAUAUAUAUAUAUUUAGUGCCUUGUCUAAACAAAAUGGAUGGAAUCGAUGUGCCACCCGAAAUGGGAUAGAAAGGGAAAAGAAGAUUGAAUUGGUGACCGUGCGACCCAUGAUAUUAGUUUUGCAAAGUUUUCUUUGACUUUGGCUUUUUGCACUUGAUGGUUAUUCUAGAAAGAGAGAUAAGAGUGCUGUGUAAUGGAAAAAUGAAGAUACAGAUGGGAAGAGCAGGUGGCGGCCGAAAGUAAAAAAAAAAAAGAAAAAAAAAAAAAGAAAAGGCAAUUGCGGGUCCCACCUGAUAUAGAUAUUGAUGGGUUGAAAUUUGAUUUUUUCGUUGCAUGUGUAUGUGAUGCAUAUGAUACACAUAUAUAUACAUUGGUUGGAUGAGUAGAACAGGAACCGAUUUAGAGAGAAGAAAAUUUGUGAUGAUGUUUUCUUUCCCGUGGGGCCCACAAAGAAUUAUUUUGCCAAAGGCUCUUUGAACUUGGUCUGUUCGCAUGGGCUAUAUCUGUUGUAUUUUGAGUGAGUGAGUUGUAUUGUCUGAUGAAAGAUAUGAUGAGGAUGAAUGAAAGGAUAAGGAGGAGAAAGAUAAAGUAAGCAGUGGUGGCGGGGUCCACUAAAGUUUGAUGUCCCCUAAGCUAUUGAAUUGAUUCAUUUCACUUUGAAUUGAUAUUUGUGAAGUGUCGGUACAAUUGUCUAUAUAUAUUGUGCCUUUUGGUGAUGACACAGAAGAGAGAAAUAAAGGAAACAUUCACAGAGAGUUUCAGAGGGGGCUGGGAGCAGUGAUGUUGAUGACCCAGUGUUGAUUUAUUCAUUUUACAGUGUAGGUAUCGAGGAUGCUUAAGGAUUUUUAGCUGCGGGCUUAGGUGGAAGAGUUGGUGUUGAGGAAUUAAUUAAUUUAUUUAGAGAUUUUUAUGCAUUUAUUUGAGGAAAUUGAUUUAGUAUCAAUUUAAUUAAUUUGAGAUGUUGUCUUAUUUAUUUGAGGAAAUUUGAUUGAUUUUGUAUUAAUAAAUGGGUAUUUUAUUUCUUUUGA